GACGUAGGGUGCAAGCGUUGUCCGGAUUUAUUGGGCGUAAAGAGCUCGUAGGCGGCUUGUUGCGUCGACUGUGAAAACCCGCGGCUUAACUGCGGGACUGCAGUCGAUACGGGCAGGCUAGAGUUCGGUAGGGGAGACUGGAAUUCCUGGUGUAGCGGUGAAAUGCGUAGAGAUCGGGAGGAACACCAGUGGCGAAGGCGGCACCCUGGACCAGCACUGACACUGAGGCACGAAAGCGUGGGGAGCAAACAGG
rnacentral:rRNA from 1 species